UCUCAUCACUAAUUUUCCAAAAAAAAUAUAUCGUGAAAAUAGUUUUCAUUAAUCUCAUAGUGGAUGAUAGAGUUUUUUCUUCCAAGUGUUGUUCCCUCGUCUCGUGAUUGUCGAAUCCUAUGGUUUCAUUAUUUAUCUUUUCUCUCUCAACAUCAGAUCCCUGGUUCAAUACAAAACCAUCAUUCUCAUCGCAACUAGACUAACGAUUAAACCAACUUGUUUCUUUUGCUGAUAUCAAAGUCCCAAGAACAACAGAUAACUCUUCGAUUUCAACACUUUUCUUCUUCUCUUCAUCAUUCUCGUUACAGUCUCGAGUAUCAACUUCAUCAGGGUGCCUUGUCAGAUCCCAAAUUGCAGGUCACGGAAGCUAUAAAGGGAACCAAAUCUACAUGACGAACUUACCUUCUUAAGCACGAAUAUGGCACAAGAAGUGUCUGAUGAAAGUCCUAAGAGAAACAGAGCAGGAUUUUGUGGCUUGGGAAUGAAUUUCUGGUGUGGAUUUAGCAUAGAUUUGUGUCCUGGGAAUGGAUUUCUGGUGUGGAUUUAGCGCAGAAUAGGUUUAAUUUGAAGCGUCAAGUGUAUCAUAAAAGUCUGAGAUUGUGUAAAUUUAUUAUAUCUCGUCUUAUUUCUAACGUAAAAGUUGUAAUCAAUAUACAUAGUAACAAACUUAUAUUUAUGGAAUUUCAAUAUUCCUUG